rfam:Pseudocercospora fijiensis CIRAD86 unplaced genomic scaffold MYCFIscaffold_10, whole genome shotgun sequence.
CUCUCGAUAGCUCAGCUGGAAGAGCGCAAGACUGUAACGGAUUUACUCAGAGCAUCUUGAGGCCCGCGGUUCGAUCCCGCGUCGGGAGA